rnacentral:lncRNA from 10 species
GUGCGCAUCACCAUGCCCGGCUAAUUUUUGUAUUCUUGUAGAGACAGGGUUUUACCAUGUUGGCCAGGCUGGUCUUGAACUCUUGACCUCAUGAUCUUCCCACCUUGGCCUCCCAAAGUGCUGGGAUUACAGGCAUGAGCCACUGCGCCUGGCCUGUGUUUUCUUUCUUUCUUUUUUUUGGAGACCGAGUCUCACUUUGAGACAGGGCUCUUGCUGUUGCCCAGGCUGGGGUGCAGUGGUGCGAUCUCAGCUCAUCGCAACCUCCACCUCCCAGGAUCAAGCCAUCCUCCCACCUCAGCCUCCCGAGUAACUGGGCCACAGCAUGUGCCACCAUGCCUGGCAAUUUUUUGUAUUUUUGGUAGAGACAGAGUUUCACCACAUUGCCCAUUAUAUCAUGUUGCCUCUUGUUUGAAUGAAUUCUUGUACUUCAAGAUAGGGAGCCCUAUUCAAGUAUUCACAGUAUAGCAACAUCUCCAGAUACUCCCUUUUAAUCGAGUGUCCCCUCCCCAGUAAGGAAGCAGUGGUUAGAAUGUUUCAUCUCAGGCUGGGCAUGGUGGCUCACGCCUGUAAUCCCAGCACUUUGGGAGGCCAAGGCGGGCGGAUCACUUGAGGCUGGGAAUUUGAGACCAGCCUGACCAACAUGAAGAAACCCCGUCUCUAGAAAUACAAAAUUAGCCAGGAGUGGUGGUGCAU